CCAGGAGCUGUGAAGAGAGGGCCUGAAGUGCUGUGUGCCGUGUCACCACCCUGGCCUGGGACAGCACCCAGCAGGCACCUGCGACCCAGCUGUACCCCACAGUGUCUUCCCAGAGGCAGGCCGGCUGCACCCUGAAACAGCGGAGUGUGGCAGUUUCCUCAGGCCCCGGAGCAGUGCCUUCCGAGGCCCCAGCAGCUUGCCAGGUUCCAGGUGAGACGCAUGGGGCUUGCCCU